GGAGCCAAGACAUAUGCUGGGUCCUCUGGAUACUAACUUGAAGAAGGCAAGAUGUGCCGUGCAUAAGGAAGUUGUAUUUUAGUGCAGGAAAUGGAUACAGAAACCAUGAUAAAUGUUGUGCUGAAGGCCUGGAUGAAGACCAUCGCCUUGCAGCUCUUAGUAGGCAGAUAAAAAGAUCUAUUUCACACAUGAUGUUCGAAUGACUCCAGAUUCGAAGUUAAUGGGGACUGAAUUGGUCCUAUUCACAAAACUAGUUAAACCUAUCAAGAUGUUCACAGCAACAGAGCCUGCUAUUUAAUAGCAUCAAAAUUCCUGAGAAGAAGGCUGUGCUUAU
rnacentral:lncRNA from 1 species